GACGAACGCUGGCGGCGCGCUUAAUACAUGCAAGUCGAGCGAGAACCGGAGCUUCGGCUCCGGGGACAGCGGCGAACGGGUGAGUAUCACGUGGGUAACCUGCCCUCGGCACCGGGAUAGCCCGGGGAAACCCGGAUUAAUACCGGACGGCCCUUCCGCUCUUCGGGGCGGUCGGAAAAGGUAGCUCCGGCCUCCGGCCGAGGAUGGGCCCGCGGGGGAUUAGCUUGUUGGUGAGGUAACGGCUCACCAAGGCUCCGAUCCGUAGCUGGUCUGGGAGGAAGAUCAGCCACACUGGGACUGAGACGCGGCCCAGACGCCUACGGGAGGCAGCAGUAGGGAAUCUUGCACAAGGGGCGCAAGCCUGAUGCAGCGACGCCGCGUGCGGGAAGACGGCCUUCGGGUUGUAAACCGCUUUCAGGAGGGACGAAGCCACUCGGGUGAAUAGCCCAGAGGGUGACGGUACCUCCAGAAGAAGCCCCGGCUAACUACGUGCCAGCCGCCGCCGUAACAC
rnacentral:rRNA from 1 species